GAUGAACGCUGGCGGCGUGCUUAACACAUGCAAGUCGAGCGAAGCACUUUACUUGGAUUUCUUCGGAAUGACGAGUUUUGUGACUGAGCGGCGGACGGGUGAGUAACGCGUGGGUAACCUGCCUCAUACAGGGGGAUAACAGUUAGAAAUGACUGCUAAUACCGCAUAAGACCACAGCACCGCAUGGUGCAGGGGUAAAAACUCCGGUGGUAUGAGAUGGACCCGCGUCUGAUUAGCUAGUUGGUGGGGUAACGGCCUACCAAGGCAACGAUCAGUAGCCGGCCUGAGAGGGCGACCGGCCACAUUGGGACUGAGACACGGCCCAAACUCCUACGGGAGGCAGCAGUGGGGAAUAUUGCACAAUGGGGGAAACCCUGAUGCAGCGACGCCGCGUGAAGGAAGAAGUAUUUCGGUAUGUAAACUUCUAUCAGCAGGGAAGAAAAUGACGGUACCUGACUAAGAAGCCCCGGCUAACUACGUGCCAGCCGCCGCGGUAA
rnacentral:rRNA from 1 species